rnacentral:lncRNA from 1 species
UUUAGCUCUAUACAUUUCAGGCCUGGUUCUCAUUUCUAUGUAUACAACUUGGAUAGUUUUAUGAUUAAUAUGCUCGAUAUGAUACCAUGAUUUGAUAUUGCGUUUGUUAAGUGUUUAAUAAAUGUUAUCCAAACUAAUUGCCUCUAGUUGGUCAUGAUGUAAUUCGAUAUUCAUAAGUUGUUUUUGAUAUCAAUAAUCAAAUUUGAGUCGAUAUGUGCAAGAGAUCGCUGUGAAUAUAUGCGUAACAGGUCACUGUGAAAUGUAAUAAGUGUGAGUGAAGUAUGUUUGAAUUUAUAACUCAAAUCCAAUGAUUUUAAUUGCUAAUUUAAGAAUGGAAUGGUACUGUUUAUGUCAAGUGUUCAUUUUCUUCGUAUAUGUGUACAACUUUAAUAACAUGUCUUAAUGCUAUGAAGUAUUAUACUAUUAUUCCACCAAGUCCAAGAGUAAUUCCUUUUCCUUAGAAUUUUCAAUAGCUUCCCGGGGGCGAAGAAGGCUUAUUAAUAUACAGAUUUUGUUAAGUAUCAGCUCAAUAGAAGUAGUCAGGUGUUAAGUAAAUUCCUUGUCAUCAUGUACAUACGGGGUUGUUCCAAAUUGUGCAACAUAGGACUAAACAGAACUUUUCCUUUGAGCUAAUUACCUUCAAGCGCAAGGUUCUCUUAUUUGCCAGAAGAAAAUAAUAAGAGUUCCUCGAUGAAAAAUUCCCAUGUCAUAAUCGAUUGCUCCACUCGUAAUGUUUGAAACCAAAUGUUCAAUCACUCUACAAUGUUGCAUAUAUAGGUUAAGCUGAGCCCAAAUGAUGUCAGUAUUAAUUAUGACACCCACAAGCGAAACACUAAUCAGAUUACAGGAAACCUUCCUAUUUCGGGGGUGGUGUAGGCAUACAGUGACUUAGAUCAGAUGAGUCAAUUUUGAACAUGAAAACAAAUAAGAUGGUAUUUUGUAGGCACUGGAUGUACGAUUAUGAAGUUUCACUUCCCUAACUCCACUGUUUGAUAUGUUUUUAAUCCAAAUAUCUAUAUCUGAAUAGAGAUGAAGUGGCAGAUCAUUAGGAUUGCAAAGAAUAAACUUCAAUAUGAGACCUCCAAGAGAUAAAAGAAUACUGCUGCCGGUUAUUGAAAAUUCAUAUAGUUUAGUUUCUCUACUUCUGAAAGGAAACCUCUGAGAAAACCGGUUGAAGAAAAGGUCAUCAAAAACUAGGUGUGAGUGUAUUUCCCAUUUACCCCUUCAUGUUUUUGAGAGAAUCCUCAUUCUUGCUACACAGUCAACCGGCAAUCACUUUUGAAUUAGGUCUAGUAAGUCACUGGGCAUGUCACUUUUGAAUUAGACCUUAUACCAAAGCGAUUGCCGGUUGACUGUGUAGCGAGAAUGUACAUUCUCUCAAAAACAUGGAGGGGUAAAUGGGAAAUGCACCCACACCUAGUUUUUGAUGACCUUUUUCUUCAACCGGCUUUCUCAGAGGUUUCCUUCCAGAAGUAGAGAAACCAAACUAUAUGAAUUUUGAAGAACCGUCAGCAGUAGUCUUUUAUCUCGUAGUGGUCUCAUAUUGAAGUUUUUUCUUUGCAUUCCUCAUGAUUUGUUUCUUCAUCUCUAUUUAGAUAUAGAUAUUUGGAUUAAAAACAUAACAAACAAUGGAGUUAAGGAAGUGCAACUUCAUAAUCGUACAUUGAGUGCCCACAAAAUACCAUCGUAUUUGUUUUCCUGUUCAGAGUUGACUCGUCUGAUUCUAAGUUGUAUGCUCACACCACCCCGGAAAUUGAAGACUUCCGUAAUCUGAUUACUGUUUUGAUUGUGGGUGUCAUAAUUACAACUGACAUAUCAUUUGGGGCUCAACUUACUGACCUACAUUUGCAAAGUUGCAUUGGGAUUGAACAUUUGAGAAUGGAAAGGCAUUUGUUUAUGUCAAGUGUUCAUUUUCUUCGUAUUUGUGUACAACUUUAAUAACAUGUCUUAAUGCUAUCAAGUAUUAUACUAUUAUUCCACCAAGUACAAGAGUAAUUCCUUUUCCUUAGAAUUUUCGAUGGCUUCCCGGGGGCGUAGAAGGCUUAUUAAUAUACAUAUUUUGUUAAGUAUCAGCUCAAUAGAAGUAGUCAGGUGUUAAGUAGAUUCCUUGUCAUCAUGUACAUACGGGGUUGUUCCAAAUUGUGCAACAUAGGACUCAAAAAAACUUUUUCUUUGAGCUAAUUACCUUCACGCGCAAGGUUCUCUUAUUUGCCAGAAGAAAAUGAUAAGAGUUCCUCGAUGAAAAAUUCCCAUGUCAUAAUCGAUUGCUCCACUCGUAAGGUUUGAAACCAAAUGUUCAAUCACACUACAAAGUUGCAUAUAUAGGUUAGUAAGUUGAGCCCAAAUGAUGUCAGUAUUAAUUAUGACACCCAUAUGCGAAACACUAAUCAGAUUAUAGGAAACCUUCAUAUUUCGGGGGUGGUGUAGGCAUACAGUGACUUAGAUCAGAUGAGUCAAUUUUGAACAUGAAAACAAAUAAGAUGGUAUUUUGUAGGCACUGGAUGUACGAUUAUGAAGUUUCACUUCCCUAACUCCACUGUUUGAUAUGUUUUUAAUCCAAAUAUCUAUAUCUGAAUAGAGAUGAAGUGGCAGAUCAUUAGGAUUGCAAAGAAUAAACUUCAAUAUGAGACCUACAAGAGAUAAAAGAAUACUGCUGCCGGUUAUUGAAAAUUCAUAUAGUUUGGUUUCUCUACUUCUGAAAGGAAGCCUCUGAGAAAGCCGGUCGAAGAAAAGGUCAUCAAAAACUAGGUGUGAGUGUAUUUCCCAUUUACCCUUCAUGUUUUUGAGAGAAUGCUCAUUCUUGCUACACAGUCAACCAGCAAUCACUUUUGAAUUAGGUCUAGUAAGUCACUGGGCAUGUCACUUUUGAAUUAGACAUUAUACCAAAGCGAUUGCCGGUUGACUGUGUAGCAAGAAUGUGCAUUCUCUCAAAAACAUGGAGGGGUAAAUGGGAAAUGCACCCACACCUAGUUUUGAUGACCUUUUCUUCAACCGGCUUUCUCAGAGGUUUCCUUCCAGAAGUAGAGAAACUAAACUAUAUGAAUUUUCAAGAACCGUCAGCAUUAGUCUUUUAUCUCGUAGUGGUCUCAUAUUGAAGUUUGCUCUUUGCAUUCCUCAUGAUUUGUUUCUUCAUCUCUAUUCAGAUAUAGAUAUUUGGAUUAAAAACGUAUCAAACGGUGGAGUUAGGGAAGUGAAACUUCAUAAUCGUACAUCCAGUGCCUACAAAAUACCAUCUUAUUUGUUUUCAUGUUCAGAAUUGACUCAUUUGAUUCUAAGUUGUUGUAUGCUCACACCACCCCGGAAAUUUGAAGACUUCCGUAAUCUGAUUACUGUUUUGCUUUUGGGUGUCAUAAUUACAAUUGACAUAUCAUUUGGGGCUCAACUUACUGACCUACAUUUGCAACGUUGCAUUGGGUUUGAACAUUUGGGUUGUCAAUAUAAAUAUUAUAUCAAUCUCACUUUUCUGAGUAUCACCCAUUGUGGGGAAAUUGAUUGGCUAUGGUUUAGAUGCACCCGAAAGGUGAUUGAUUUNGACUUGCGGUCCUCUCUGUAAGUGAUAAUCACAUUCCACCCACUCUGGCUUAGAUUCUGCCUUGUUUUUCUUUCACUUAUUCUCCAGCUAUAUUUGUUCCUACUUUCUCUUUAUUAAUCACGUCAUAACAAUGUCCUCAUAUUAUCUGUAAUAGCAUUGUAUUGUAUUGAGUCCUGAUCACAUUUGUGUUUUUUAUUAUAUCUAUCAAUAUAUAUAUUCUCUUCUUGUUUGUUCUCCUGGCUGGUAAGACAACUUCUCAAAUCUAUUUUUAAGGUUCACGGAUAUCCUUGCUCUCUUGAUAAUAAGAGGUCGAGGACUCAAGUUGGAGUAGUCAGGUGUGCAUGCCUAUUUAAAUUUCUGAAUUGACCUUACUAGAAAUAAGAAAAUUCGUCAAUAUAAUAUAUUGUUUCAUCAUUCGUGUACCAUACAUAUGUACACAUUAAAUUUUAUUAACAGAUUACGACGAAUGUCUACAAUAUAUCUCUUGGUAACAUAAUUCUGAUUGCAUACUAUAUAUCCUAAAAUAUGGUUAAGCACUACUAAAUGAAUUUUACAUGUUCACGAGUACUAUGCUCUUCUGUUAACCUUGUAUGUAGGAACCUGAUGCGAAGUGGUGGAAUGUUAUGCACUAGGUAGAAAGCUGGGAAUAUGGUGUCAUCGGUGACACAAUAUUUGCAAUCACUACACUUGAUUGGCAUGGCUUUUGACCAACUCGAAACUGUGGAAUUAUAUGGAGUGAAUCUUUCUUCUGAGCUUCAUUUCAUAAAGCUUUUGCUUGCAUCUUCUCCUUCGCUUAAAUUGAUGAGAAUUUAUAACAUGAUUCAUGACCGUGAAAAAAGCGUCGAGGGUGUCGCAAGAGUUGAUGAGGUUCCCCCGAGCAUCCACAACUGCAGAGAUUAUAUGGAAGUAACGAGUAGUAUUGAUAGGUUUGUUUUGGAAGUUAAUGUUGAACCAUAUGGACUCCUUGGGAUUGUUUAUUUUGUGGUUGCAGAAUCAGAGACCCCUUUUUGUGGCUCUUGAACGUGAGAUCUUUUUCUGGGUUUAUUAACUUCAAUUUCAAUGACAGCAAAGUUUUUGGUUUAUUUAUUUAUUUAUCUUUUCUGGGUUUUUCUUAAGUUUUUGGUUUAGAUGGCUUUCAUGUUUAGAGUCCCGUAAACUGUAGGCUACAUGUAGUCAUGGUUGCUUCUCUAUUUGACAAUCAUAUUUUAGGCGCUCUCUUGAGAGUUGUUAUUUGUCAUAUUUUCAUAGUUUAGCCCUGGCCGUCCCUUUCCCAGAAACUAAAAUACCUUGAACUAGAAGUCACUCUUGUUAUCGGUAGUCUGAGUGUUGCUCUGUUUGACCCCCCUGUCCUGAACUUUUUCUGAUCCUGGGUGUUGCUUUGUUCGCCCCCCAUUGUUACAAGCAUCAGGUCCUUAAGUAACAGGAAGUGCUUAUCUAAAAGCUGAACAUUUGUCCUCACUGAUGGAAGUUUCUCUCUUAGUAUGCUGUUUAUUCUGGAACAGUUAUAUAGAAUAGCACAUUUUCUGACAUUACUUUGAAAUUCUCUUAUCCUUUUCUUGGUAUGUGUAAACCCCUAUGGAAGUCUUUAUUAUUUUCACGAAACGGUUGAUUGCAGAAAUUUAAAUACUCUCUUUAAUUUUCAAAUACUGUGUGGCAAUCAAGCAUGUCAAAUACUGUGUGGUAAUUUUCGAUGAGUAUUCUCACGCACCUGUCUUGUCUUUAAUAAGAUUCAAAACCUCGACGUGAGAGAUUUCAUGAUACCAUCUGAUCAAGAGGUCUUAAUUCUUGAUCCAUGUUUUUUUUGUUUGCAAGUUGACUCAUCAUCUAUGUUACCCGGACUCGACUAAAAAUGUCCCAUAUUAAUGUGUUUAGUGUCGGAUUUAGUAAUAUUCUGAAAAUUUUAUACGUUUUUUCUAAAAUAAGUGUUGGAGUGGCCAUAUACAUGUUCGAGUGUUUACUUCUGAUAAAAUGAAGAGUUGGGGUAAUAUAGCUCCUGAUUUGGUUGUGUUGUUAUGGGAUUGAUAUAGGUGGAUGCAUUUACGGAGUCGGCGUUUAAGGGGAACCCUGCUGCUGUGUGUUUCCUAGAAGAGGAGAAAGAUGAGACAUGGUUACAAGCUGUUGCAACUGAGUUCAAUAUUUCUCAGACAUGUUUCUUGACUCGGAUUGCGGCUGACUCCGUUUCUACCAACCCUCUGUUUGGCCUCAGGUGGUUCACUCCUGUUGCUGAGGUCCUCUCUUUUUCUCUCCUUUUUUUGGGGAUAUUUUAUUAUUUGAUUUAAGGACUAUUGAGUAUUUAUGUUUUUUUCAGUUUUUUUUGUACUAAUUAAAUUAUUUUUUUGUACUAAUUAAAACAUACGUAAAUAAAGCAAAAAAGUAACAAAAUGCGGGUGGGUAAAGUAAAUAAACUUCAAAAUUAUAUUUAGGCUUCGUUUGUUUCACCAAAAAUAACUUAAUUUUAGAAAAUAUUUUCUUCGGGAGCUACUUUCCUAAAAGAAUGUUUUUUACAGAACAUAUUUGCCGUCCUAAACAAAUGUUUUAUGCUGAAAUUUUUGAGAAAAUUUUCUCGAGAAUUUUUCAUAAAUUUUUCUCGAGAAAUUUUAGGGAAAAUUUCCAACAAUUAUCCAUGAGAAAUAUUUUUCUAGAUAAUAUUUUCCCCUGUUCAAAUGUCGGAAAAACGUUUUUCUGGCAAACAAGCGAAGUCUAGCUUUUUUUAAAUGCAAGAAAAUAGUGUUUUAGCCUGAAAAUAUAUUUUCCCAUUCCGCUGUGCAAAUAUGUUUUGUUGGAAGAAAUUAUGAACUGCAUUUUGUUUGUUAAUAUGCAAUUAGCAGAAGUAACUAGUCAUAUACACUAAAAAAAAUUGUGAAUGACAUUAGAAUUAGUAAUUUCACUUAUGAUAGAAUAUAACAACUCUUACUUUGUUUACAAUUACAUUCGAUUUAUGUUAUCUCUAUAUAUCUUUUGCUGUCCUUAAUGUUUGUAGUGUAAUGGAUUGUUAAUAAUAUAAUCCUGAAAUUUCUGGAUUCAGGUCAGCAACCGACGAACUCGCAGGUGGAUAAAUGAUCGUCUGUUGAUGGAGCUUGUUCCUCGUUUGAAUGCAGAGGAAAUUAGAGGCUUGUUUGCGCCACCACCUUGGGGUAAGAGAAACCAUAUAGACUUUUUAUUGUGUUUAUGUUUUGAAGCUCAAUGCAUUUUUGAAAUUUGCUUAUUGCAUUUUAAAGACUAAAAACUUUGGUUUCAAACAGACUUGGCACGAAUCUUUUCUUAUGUUUCACUAUUGUUAUUUAUGUUUGAAGGUGAAACUGAAAGAAAUGAGAAGAGUGUCAUAGUCCCUCCUUUAAUGUAGUCUCAAACAUAAUUUUGAUGGGAGGUCAAUUUUACAGGUGAUGAGGUACCAGUUUCAGCAUUCUGCAUGACAAAUGGAGGGGAGUGGGACAAGUUCAGAAGUAUUGACAUGGACAAAGAGGUUUUUUACUUCUCUUACUUACUAUGUACUCUUAUUAUUUUAGUUUGUGCAUAAUUAUAUACAUGUAUAUAGAAUAUUUUCUAUAAAGGCUUUGCUGCAGUGCGGAUGCCAUUCAAAUGUUUGAUAUAGCAUAGGUNCAGUUUUUCUUAGGGUAAUUUAGUAAUAGCCACCGAGGGGUGAAGAGGGGGGCGGGGGUUAAAAAUCAUGGACAAAGAGGUUUAGGGUUUUUAUCGAUAAAAUGUGUUUCCUGCUUUCUAUUUUUCUAUUGAUUGGUUUGUGAUGUCUCUUUGCAAUUGUUGUGCUGAAGUGUUUUCCUUAAAGAGUAGUGGGAUGAAAAAAAGGUAAUUAAAGGUAAUAAAGCAUAACCAGUGGGAAUUUAUUGUAACAAUUUGGUCCCACAUUUAAUAGUAUGACUGUAUGUUUUGAUAAUACCUGGUUCCACAAAUCUAUAUCAUUGUUCUGGUCCAUAUACCAAGGAUGUAUACUGUUAUGUUAAUUCUGGGGUUCUCAAAAACUGGAGAUCGGAAAGAUUUUUUCAAGUUCUUUCAUUUCCCUUUUUCCCUCUGAUUAUGUACCGUAUCUGCGAAUAGUUUUUAUUGCUUCAGGACAUGUCAUCUGAACAUCUGAUGUAUAAAGGCGUGUGACAUCUUUUCAUCUGUUUAAUUUCUUGUUGACAGAUCAAAGUAAUCGAAACCCUUGGAGGCUCUUCUUCAAAAAAGAAAGGUCGUGUGGAUGUUGAUAAGAUGGCUGAUUUGGCUGCAUGGCACAGAGUAAACUGUCGCACUAGAGAAGCACUCCGACAUAGCUUCCUUGCCGAGCUAAUUGAGAGCUAUGAGGUAGUACUUUAUGUGAAAUGAGUUUAAUGAAAGAUGAUAAAUUCACUAUCAUGUGAACUUUUUCCUUUAUAUAUUAACUAGGAACCUUCUUCCUGUAUAUUUAUAUGUAUUUACAGAAGUCUUUUUUUUUUUUUUAUCUUCCUGUAUAUUUAUAUGUAUUUACAGAAGUCUUUUUUUUUUUUUUAUUUGACAGUAUUUACAGAAGUCUUAUUUUGAUUAACAAGAAGGGUAGACUAUAAUCUUUAUCUCUGAAGUAAUAAUUGCUUGUUCCUUUUUAUUGCAUUUUCUUAUCAUAUCUUACCUGUCUGUCACAAGGCAUGUGAUUGUCUAACUAAAACUUAUUGGAAAAACUUUUACUUAGUAUUGUUAUGUUUCAUAAUCAAGUCAACUUUCUAGUAUUAUGAAGAAACUUGUCCACUUGUUAUUUAUUAUAUUGUUCAUCUGAUAAUUUUUUUACAAAUUUAUGAUAUUUUGUUGCCUUUCCUAGUGUACCUUACGCAUCACCUCUUUGCAGGCAUGUCUGAGGGUUUUCAUUGAGGGUCUUGACGGAGAUGUUCUUGUGCUACAUGUUAAAGACCCUUUCCAUAGGAUGCUACUUCACGGUGUUUGUGAGGUAUAGCUCCUUGGAAUCUUGUAAAGUUGAGCUUCAACUAGAAUUUUGCUCAUCUAUAUAAAUUUGUUGACAUUUUACCUUCUCAUGGCACUGGUGGAUUCUAUUGAGUUUGCAGGACAUGCUAAUACAUGUAGUAGUAGAUACAAUGACCAAUCUUAUUAGUAUUGCUGAUAAUCUUAUCACCUGUAUUUUCCCAGUUCUAAGACUUGGUGUCUGUGACAGACACCGAAUCAGACACAGAGCCGAUGAAGCCCACAAAGAUCAAGAAAAAGAAAGCAGGCUCUGUCCAACCACCGAAAAUCACCCUCUGCAACUUCCUGAAAAUGGCAAAGGAAGGAAACUGGUAACUCCGUUUGCAGGGACUCGCAUACAUUAGUAGAUGGGUAGUAUAGAACCCAGUUAUCAUCAUAUCAAAUCGUCUUGUUUGUGAAAACAAAUCGUAAUGACUUAAUUAUCGUUUUAGGCCUUAGUGUGAUCUGUAACAUUAAUAGGUUGUUAAAAUUGCUGGCAAUCCUCUAGUAGUUGUUUCUACAUCUUUCCAAGAGCAGAUUAAAAAUGUCAGUGACAAAAUCAAUUCUCUGAUAAUGUUGUGCUUGAUAAAAUUUCCGUGUAAAAAUAAUUUAUAAAAGAAGCAUCAUAAAAGUGUAAAAUAUUAUUUUUGGUCCGAAAUGUUACUAUACAGUGGUAUCAAAUGCCAAAAGAAUAUUGAGUUUCGACACUUUAAGUUACUUAUACUCUAUUCUAUAUAGCAAAAAAUCGGUUCUUUUGACACUUUAAGUUACUUAUACUCGUUUUUAGAUAGCAAAAAAUCGGUGGGCGUUUGGUAACGCUUAAGCACUUCUGACUUCUUUUAGCACUUUUGUAACACUUUAAGUUACUUGUACUUUUGUAACACUUUAAGUUACUUAUUGAGUGAUCCGCAUUUUAUUAUGAAGUGUUUACAUUUUUAGAGUCAAGUUCUAUGGAGUACAAACAAUAUUGGAGUAUUGGAGUACAAGAUUCAUACAAUAUAAUCUAGUCAUCCAAAAUCUUCAUUUUUUGUGUUCUACAAUACUUGUAAACAUUCGACAACCUGCAGAUUAUGUUCUACAACAUAAACAUUGUAAUCAAAAGAUAGAACAGUUACUUUUAUAAAUCGUACGACAUUAUGUUCUGCAAUAUAACUUAUAAGCAGAACAACAAUCUUAAUGCUUGUUAAAGUUGAAAGAUAUUAAUGAUUAAUUGACAAUUAUGUUUAAUACUACAUAUAAAUGAUAAAUUAUAUAUAAAUCUGGAUAAUAAGAGUAAUUAUUUAUGAUUAAACUAAAAAAUUAUGAUUUGUACUCCAAUUUUCCAAUGUUUUUAAGUACUCCAUAUAACUUAACUCAACAUUUUUAAUAUAUAAUAAACUUUAUUUAUUAAUAAAACAUUUUUUAUUUUAAUAAUUUGAAUUUUUUUAAUUUAUAAAUUUAAAAUUAUCAAACACUCAAUUGACUUAUAAGUAAAAGUUAUCCACACAUUUUAAGAACUUUUAAGUAAGGUCAUUUAUCAUUUAUAAUCCACUUCUUUACUUUUAGCAAUUAGAAAUAAGUUAUUUUUUCUAAGUUAAGUCAAACGACCCCUUAGUCUCAAAAGCAUUCCAUAUACCAAAAUUUUUAUAAUUAGUAAAAGAAUAUCCAAAAUAUCAUUUAUUGUUUAAGACCUCGUAUUUGUGAAAGACUGUCCAAAAUAUUAUUAUUUAUUAAAGUCGGAUAAUCAAGCGUUUUGAAUUUUAGGAAGCGUAUUCAACCGAGAUUUUAUCAUAUUGUUUUUUAUUUGUGAAUUUAAAUGAAUUAUAUAUAUAUAUAUAUAUAAUUUUUAGGGAAAUCUACAAAACUACCUACCUUUUCUUUUAUUGUUUUCAAAAAUACUACCUUCCAGAAUUUUUUUUAAAAAUACCUUUUCAUAAAAUCUUUUUUUCAAAAAUACUGUUUGCAACUUUUGCAACCUCAUCUGCAACUCCAGGCGGCGCCAGCCGUGUUGCAACCUCUUUUGCAACUUCAUAUGCAACCGAAUUAUAUAUAUAUAUAUAUAUAUAUAUAGACAAAAGUUAUAUGGAGUCUUAUAAAUUUUGGAGUCCUUGGAGUCCCAAUCUGGGCCCUCCAUCUUGUGUAACAUCCAAUGGCUGUUAUGUUUUUUGGAUUAAUCUUUUCUUUUUAGUUUUUUAUUUUUUUAAAAACCAACCGUGCAUUUUUUGAACAGGCGUGCGUAUGUUAUCCGGCAGUUGCAACUGCCUCAGAGUGUUUCCAGGAGAUGUAGAGAGAAGUGUCCUGCACCUACGAAAUAAUUUUUUUUUUCAUUUUUUCAUUUUUUGUUCUUUCAUACGCGGGAGGCAAUAUCUUUAAUAUCGAGAUCAAUCUGUGUAAAGUGUAUAAUAAGAAGGCCCAAUCAAAUAAGUUUUGUAGUUUUUUUAAUGCAUCUUGUGUUCAUUUUAGGUCCUGUAUUGCAAGGUCUAUUGUGCAUACGAUUUCUGUGCAGGACAUGUUUAUGGUUAAUGUAUUUGUCUUGCGUAUCAUCAUUACAAAGUAAUGGUUGUCUUUUCAUUCUGCACAUGUUCUUGGUUACCAGAGCUGUCAAAACCCUCUCGAGGAGUCACAAAAUCAUCAUCCUCUUCGUCAGGAACGCUCGCACGCAUCUUAUCUACAUCCAUCCUUUCAUUACAUAUGUCCAAUCUAGGCACUGGUGUCGACACCUCUCCUUGAGAUUUGUCAAACACGCUUCCACUUACGUUUUUUCUCAGCAAAGUACCGUCUGACACAAUUCUUGCAGGCAUGCAAUUAUAGCCGUCAUCAUCAAUGGUUAUGUAUCCUGGUUUCUUCUUAGUCCAAUUGUAUACCCACGGGCUUUCGAUUAGUCUACUGCUUCUCCUUCGACCUAAGCACACGAGGAAUAAUAGCUUAUUAAGCACACGAGGAAUAAUAGAUUAUUAUACAAUUAAGAUACUAGAAUAUUACACACGAUGCAAAACAACUAAUUAUACAAUGUUCAGGACACUUAAAAAAAUCCAAACUCCGAUUAAAGAUUCCAAGAUACUGGUCUGUUAGAAACUGGAAGGACACGUUAAAAACAAGAAUCACUGAUAGCCCAAAAACACAACAAAUGCCUAAUCACUUAUUAUGCAACAUCAAGAUGAAAUUAGUAAUUAACAGAGUGCAAAACUAAACCAAAAAAAAUGUAUAUACUACAAUAGCAGUAGCAAUGUUCGUUCACAUAUGACGCAAAUGCAGGAUCAAAAUGAAUACAGAGUGCAGGACUCAUCAACAAAUAUUCUAUAAUAUUACCAAAUUCUUAAUCUAGAAUAUUAAAAGCAUAGGGAAACAUUGGCAAGCGUUAAUUUAGCUACUCUACUUGAUUUUAGUGUUAUUUACUGUUCACCUUGUCUUACUAAAGAAACACUCUGUAAAAGGACAAAAGAAAUCCUUUCAUGGACUUCCAAAAAAAAGAGUUUAAAAUCAAGAAAUGUAGACUCUCUCACAAUGCACUCUAUUAAGGUAUCCUGUAAACAUCUGGUCCAAGAUUUUGGUUCAACUUCAUAUGAGUACAUUAACAUAAAGCACCAAAACACAUAUGCCGUCCCUUGCACACUGCUUUCUGUUCACUACACUUUGCAGGACCUAACAAUUAAUUAUCUUCAAACAAGAAAAUUAAGCAGAUGCAGGACACAUAAAAAGGUCACAAACCACAAACUCCUUCUGAUUAGAACAGGAGAAUCAACGUUCAUGGCUGAAAUACCUUUAAUGUUGUCAUGCUAUAGGUCUUCAAGUCUUAAGGAACUGAUUGAAGCAUCGAAAAGACAACAGUACAUUGUGAUUCUAGGAAGAAGAGGGGGAAACUGGACAGAUAACACCAGGGUGAAAGGGGGAAAUGAUAAGGUGUAAUCUCAUCAUUUAGGAUUUAUCUGUUGUACUCAACAACUUUUCAUUUAAGAACUGGUUAUUUAGCGAUUAAGGAAUGGUCAAAUAUUAUUCUAGUACAUUGCCAAAAAACAGGUUAUAAGAUACUCUUUAAAAACAUCCUGGAUACAAAAUUUCUACGUACCUUUUCAUGUUUCAAAAGACAAAAAAAAUUGCAAAUCAAAUUACAAGGGACAACCUUAUCCAAUCUGUAGUUUUUCAUGUUUUCAGCUGUCUCUCGAUCAUUUACAAACUCUGAUAAGUUACUCCUAUUACUAACAUAGCCCCAACCAAAAAAAUCCAAAGAAAUGCAAGACAACCCAGUCAAUUGGGAACCCAUACAAUCACAUAUUAUGCAACUGCAAGAUAAAAAUAACAACCAAAUGCAGGACACCUAACAACUAAUUAUCUUCAAAUAAGAAAAUUAAAAAGAUGCAGGACACAUAACUACAGGAUCAAUCGCACAACUAAACCACAAAAUGCAUUUACAAUGUCAAGAAUGUACUGCACACCAAAAGCCCCAAAUUCAAUCGAAUCAGUUAUUGCACACAACUGGUGUAAUAUGCCGAGUUUGAACACACACAAAUUACGAUUUCUAAAAAAGCCCCUAAAAAACACGGAGAGCCAACAAUUCAAUGGGGCUACCGGCAAAUGGAGGAGAACCCAUUCAUUCGGGAUGCCGUAUUUCAUAGAAUCAGUGUUUUCAGCGGCAAGAACAACGACAUGCAAAGCAAUUGAAGGACAUAAUGAGAAGAUAGUGGCAUACCUGAACUCAUCUUCGAAAGAAAUUGAAGCGUCCUGCAAAAGCCCUAACUGGUGGUUGUGCUUAGUGUAUACGGUUCUGCAGCUUGGUUAUACACAGCGAAAAUCGGGGAUUAGGUGGUAACGGCCGUGCUAGUGUUAACCACCGGAGGAUGCAGGAUAGAAACUCUGAAGAAACGUGUGCGAAAGUGAAGUUGAAAAAUGGUUUAAAAUUGUCAGCGGUUUAUUUGAUCAUUAAAUCAGAGCCACAGGAUCUUUUUAAAAUCCAACGGUGGAUCUUAGGGACUCCAAAUAAUAUAUAUAUAUAUAUAUAUAUAUAUAUAUAUAUAUAUAUAGCAUACGGUUGUAUUCAGUUGCAUAUGGUUGUAUUCAGUUGAUUAUAUUGUAAUCUAAUGGCCCCGCCAGGGGCACACCAUACAUCUGUUGUUACUUACAGUUUUCAGUUGCAUUUAGUUGCAACUGAGGUUGCAAAUGAAGUUGCAAAAGUUGCAACUGCAGUUGCAACUUCAUUUGCAACCUCAUUUGCAACUUUUGCAACCUCAUUUGCAACUUUUGCAACUUACAGUUUUCAGUUGAACUAGUUGCAAUUGCAGUUGCAACUGUUGCAACUUUCCAUUUUUAUUUGCAACUUUUGCAACCUCAUUUGCAACUUUUGCAACCUCAUUUCCAUUUUUAUUUGCAACUUUUGCAACCUCAUUUGCAACUUUUACGGCUGCGCCGCCCAAGGUUGCAAAUGAGGUUGCAAAGGUUGCAAAUCGUAUUUUUGAAAAAAAAAUUUUAUGAAAAGGUAUUUUUAAAAACAAUGAAAAAGAUGGUAGUAUUUUUAAAAAAAUAAUUUUACAGAUGGGUAUUUUUAAAAAGAUCCCUAAUUUAUAUAUAUAUAUAUAUAUAGACUUUGUGCGGAUUUUUGAUAAAGUAUUAUAGGGUUGAUAUAAAUUUCUUAGAAUUUAAACAUAAUGUUUCAAAAAUCUAAAAAUCUCAUGAAUUUUGGUGGGAUUUCAAAAAACUGAAAAUACACUGAACAGUCUCACAAAAUCCAUCAUUUUACAAAGUCCAAAAAAACCUAUCAUAAUUUGAAUACUAACAUAUUUUAAUUGAUUUUAAACAAUUACAAUUGAGUACUAUCAGAUUUUCAAUAUAGUUUAAGAUCCUCGUUGAAUACGGCCAGAUUUUAUAGCCUAACUUAAAAUCCCAGUUCAUUUUUUAAUAUUAUUUAAUAUGAUAAUUAUAUGAUACUUUUUGUAAUAUUAUUAUUUACAUAUAUAUAUACACAAAAUUAUACAAAUAUACAGAGAAAACACUCAUUUGAUCUAAAAUAAAUAAAAAUAUCUCAACCAUAAGUGUAAUAAGAUAAAAAACAUUAUAUUUAAUUUGAUAAUAUAGGUGUAAUAAAAUAAAAUAUUAUAUACAAUCUCGAGGUUGCGAAAUAGUUAUAACUGACAACGCAUUUAAAAUCCACUUUUUUAUCCUUUAUAAAAACAAAUAUCCCUUCUACAUUUUUCAACUGGGUCAGAGAAAUACUGUAAGAGAGAACUCUACUUUUCUACCUAUAUUUUAAAAUAUUUUAAUGUAUAUUCAUAAAUUUUAAUCUUCAACUUUUUUAGAUAAUAUAUUAAUUUAAUAUUUCAAAAAAAAUAUUGAGAUUUUAACAUAUUUUGCCUACCGGACCAAACAAUACUUUAAAUAUCUCUAAUUUAUUAGAAACUCCUUUAAUAAUUUUUACAAAAUAAUUUAAGAACUUUUUAAUAAAUAAGAUAUAAAUAAUUAAAAAAAUUUAUAUUUUCAUUAUUUAGUAGUAAGUAUUUAUUUAUGAAAAUAAAUUUAGCUGAGGAACAUAUUUUUUUCCUCUUUUCCUUAACCUAAACUCUAAUAAAACUCCUUAAGAUCCUAGCCCAAACCCAUGUAAGUUAUGAAUUAAACAAUUAAACCUUAACCUAAGCUUAUGUAAGCUAUCAAUUAAACAAUUAAAUACCCUCUAAUAAAACUCUUUAUUAUUCUAACCCAAGCCCAUAUAAGUUAUUAAUUAAAAUGCUCUAAUAAAAUUCUUUAAAAUCCUAACCCAAGCCCAUGUAAGCUAUGAAUUAAACUAUUAAACGCGCUCUACCUGCUCGUUAAAAUCAUAGCCCAAGCCCAUGUAAGUUACUAAUAAAACUCUUCGAAACCCUAGCCCAAGCCAAUGUAACUUAUGAAUUAAACAAUUACAUGCCGGUUAAAACCCUAGCCCAAGCCCAUAUAAGUUACUAAUAAAACUCCUCGAAACCCUAGCCCAUGUAACUUAUGAAUUAAACAAUACAUUUCAAUUCAAACUCGUGAUAUUUACGCCGUUUUCUCAAAUUCCUGCGGCGGCUACUAUUCUGUAUAGCAAAACCUUUUUCUUGAUUAAAAUUCAACCCAUGACGAAGAAGCAAGUGAAGUACUGUGUGGUAAUCUCAUUCUGUUAUUUAUAUAUGCAUCAUUUUGUUUUUAACACACACAGAGUGAUGAUUUGCUAAAAAGAUUGAAUUUUUCAGGUGGAUGCAUUCACAGAAUCAGCGUUCAAGGGAAACCCAACUGCAGUUCAAUUGGUGGCCACUGAGUUCAAUCUCUCUGAAAUACAUGUUUCUUGACUAGGAUUGACUUGGAUUCGGCUAAUCCCAGGUUUCACUCCUGUUGCUGAGGUUCACUUGCUUUUGAUUCUACUUAUUUUUUGGGUUUUUAUGGUUCCCCCGGUGUUCAAUUUUGGACAUGUGUAUUGGGUUUGUGUAAAGAUUUGAUCUUUUUGGUGGUAGUGGUCUUGAAUUGAAUUUGUUUAUUGGUCUUGUGUAGUGGGUUUGUGUAAAGAUUUGAUCUUUUUGGUGUAGCAGUCUUGAAUUUGAUUGGGGCAAAACAAAGUUGAUUUGGACAUUCAACGGGACGUAAUAACGAAUAUGUCUGAUAUGCAUAUUAAACCCCUUUGUUGCCAAGGUUCAGUUACUAUUGAGUCUUGUUCAUUGUUUUAGUUUUUCUGAUGCACACACUGGUUUCAUAUUUGAUCCAUUUGGAGCUUGUUCAUUAAUCUCGCUAUUCUACUUUGUGACGUAGUAUUUUGUGAAUUCAGGCAUCAACUAGAGGUGGCAUCAUAAAAUUACAUCUAGAUGAGAGGAAUCAAGGGUAAUGCUCCAAAGGAAAGUUGUUAUUGUGAUGGAAGGUUCUCUCCUAGUUUAAAUAUGGAGGUAUUCCUAGAAACUUGAGAUCAUUAUAUUGUAUCUGUAGCAAUUUACUUAACAAGUUUUUUACCAUUUGCUACAGAUAUUUUUGAUGAACACUACUUUCUUAAAUGUGUUGUUGAUAUGCAUUUCGUGCUAAUGAUUAUUGAUAAGUAGUACUUUUAUAGUUCUCUUCGAUAGAUUGCUUGCAAUUAUCUAGUUGAUUAAUUAAUGCAGCUGUGUUCACUCUUCCGAGUCACUCGAACUAAAAUGAGUUGGUAAAGUGAGUAUUUAUGAGUCAUUUUAUUCAACAUGUUCAAUAUAUCUAUUGUGAAGUAUUAUGCAAAGUAUGGAAAUUCGUAAAUAAUAUUGGCAAAAUUGUGCCAAUAUUAUUUAGAGCACUUAACUUCACUUACGACCGAAAGAAAAGCCGUUGGUGACUAUAUUCUUGCCAAAAUUCAUAUAUAGUUGCUGAUUGUAUACUAGUUUUUAGAAUAUCAAUUGAUAUUAAUUUUAAAUUAUAUUCAAUAAUUGGCAUUUCAUUUAAAAUGAUAAGUAUAAUUUUGAUUGGGAUGACUGAAUAUUUUCGAUAUUUAUGACUAUUAUAAUUUGGAAGGUUAAUUUUGAAUAGUUAGAAAUGAUUUCAAGAAUUUAUUCCUGUAGUUUAUGUAAUAUGUGUCAAUUCCUUUUUAUGUAUAUUAAGACGUAUGUCAAAUGUUAUUAUAUAAAAGUUUUCGUAUUAUUAUAUUUUGGUAGUUAAUCUUUAUAGCAAACAAAUUUCAAAUAUGUAUAUUAUUUACACAUACAUAUUCAGAAGAUAUUAAAAUAACAAGUAAGCUGCUCCAGAGCUCUUAACCCCAAACAUGACGACUAGGAAAGAGCAAAAUAAAUAUUUCAGUCCACAUUUCGAACCUGCUGGACAAGUAAAUUUUCUUUUAAUUUUGAAACAUGGAUUAAGUUCUUAUAAGUUCUUAUUCAUUUACUUUUGUGAUGUAAUUGGAUCGAUUUUUUUGUAUAUUAUACCAUGUGAAGCAAACACAUGAAUUUAGCUUUAAACAUUUCAGGCCUGGUUCUCAUUUCUAUGUAUACAGGUUGGAUAGUUUUAUAAUUAAUAUGCUCUAUAUGAUAUCAUGAUUUGAUAUUGUGUUUGUUUGAUGUUUAAUAAAUGUUAUCCAAACUAAUCGCCUCUAGUUGGUAAUGAUGUAAUUCGAUACUCAUAAGUUGUUUUUGAUAUCAAUAAUCAAAUUUGUUUAGAUAUGUGCAAUAGAUCACUGUGAAUAUAUGAGUAACAGGUUGUGUAGUGUAAUAAGUGUGAGUGAAGAAUCUUUGAAUUUAUAACUUAAAUCCAUUGAUUUUAAUUGCUAAGUUGAGAAUGGAAUGGUACUGUUUAUGUCAAGUGUUCAUUUCUUCUUAUUUGUGUACAACUUUAAUAACAUGUCAGAAUGCUAUUAAGUAUUAUUCCACCAGUGCAAGAGUAAUUCCUUUUCCUUAGAAUUUUUGAUAGCUUCCUGGGGCGUAGAAAGCUUAUUCAUGUACAGAGUUUGUUAAGUAUCAGCUCAAUAGAGGUAGUUAGGAGUUAAAGUAAAUGCCUUGUCAUCAUGUAAUUACGGGGUUGUUGAAAUUGUGCAAGAUAGGACUUAAAAGAACUGUUUCUUUGAGCUAAUUACGUGCACCCACAAGGUUCCCUUAAUUGCCAGAAGAAAAACAUAAUAAGAGUUGCUCGAUGAAAAAUUCCCAUGUUAUAACCGAUUGCUUUGCUCGUAAGGUUUGAAACCAAAUGUCCUAUCCUAGUGCAAUGUUGCAUAUAUAGGACAGUAAGUUGAGCCCCAAAUAAUAUAUGUCAGUAUUAGUUAUGACACCCACAAGCGAAACACUAAUCAGAUUACGGAAACCUUUAUAUUCCGGGGGUGGUGUAGGCAUACAGUGACUAGACUCAGAUGAGUCAACUCUGAACAGGAAAACAAAUAAGAUUGUAUUUUGUAGGCACUGGAUGUACGAUUAUGAAGUUCCAGUUCCCUAACUCCGGUGUUUGAUAUGUUUUCAACCCAAAUAUCUAUAUCUGAAUAGAGAUAAAGAGGCAGAUCAUUAGGAAUGCAAAGAAUAAACUCUAAUAUGAGACCAUUACGAGAUAAAAGAAUACUGCUGACAGUUCUUGAAAAUUCAUAUAGUUUAGUUUCUCUACUUCUGAAAGGAAACUUUUGAGAAAGCCGGUUGAAGAAAAGGUUAUCAAAAACUAGGUGUGUGUGCAUUUCCCAUUUACCCCUCCAUGUUUUUGAGAGUAUGCUCAUUCUUGUUACAUAUCAACUAGUAAUCGCUUUUGAAUAAGGUCUAGUAAGUCACUAGGCAUGUCACUAAUAAUAUCAACCGCGUCUUCACAAUCAAGCCGUCUUGUGUUAGCAUUACUAGUCAUAUAUCUGAAUAUUAGAAGAAGUAAGAACUAAACUGAAAAGAUUUACAAACAAUAAUACUAUAAUAUAAAUAUAAUUAAGUAUAUUUGUAGUGGUCAACUGGGUAGCAGCAAUUAAUCAAAUUUAUCGUAGCACACAAUUUAAAGAACAUUUAUCCAUAAGAGCCAUAUAUCAUAUAUGUAAAUAAUUCAACUAAGCCAUUAUCACAUUUGGAAAAAAGUGGCAAAAUCAUUUUCGUAUAUAUUAGCGAAAGUUUAACAGUUAAUUAAAACCCCUAAAUCAAAGAUAGAAAAAGAUCAUGUGAGAUAUCAACAUACAUAAAAACAUUGAUUUAUUCAAAAAGUUGAUGAUUCAUAUAUAUAUAUAUAUAUACACACAUACAUAUAUUUAAACAUAUAUAUAUUUGAUACAUGUAUUGGUGGGAGUGAGACAUUAUGAGUGUGGCGGAAUGAGGAAAGAAAUGUGAGGAUUAGUGAUACAACCCUAAUUCUUAAUUAUGUAAUCUGUAUAACGAUGUCGUGUAAUCAGUUGACUGCAAGAUAUUUGCAUAUGCUAGAAAACCGUAUCGUAUGGAACAGAACAUUCUAAAAUGGCUAAACACAACACUGUUUAAGGAUAAUAUUUACAAAUCAUUUUUAUUUAUUUAUUUCCAUUUUAGGGGCAGUAUGUUGAUACUCGUGUACAGGGAAACAACUAUCAACAUAUGUAGACAUUCCCCUGCCUAAAUAACAACCUGCCUCGAAAAUGGAAAUAAAUAUAAAAAGAAAUGUUUUGUAGAUGUUAUCCUUAAAUGAUGUCGUGUUUAGCCAUUCUAGAAUGUUCUUUUUCAUAUGAUGCCGUUUUCUAGCAUAUGCAAAUAUUUUGCAGUCAAAUGAUUACAGGACGUCGUUAUAGAGAUUACAUAAUUAAGAAUUAGGAUUGUAUCGCUAAUUCUCACAUUCUUUCCUUACUCCGCCGCGCUUAUGUUGUCUCACUCCCAGCAAAGGUAUCAAAUGUUUAUAUAUAUUUAUGUGUGUGUGCGUGUAUUUGAAUCAUUGUUUUUUUGAAUAUAUCAAUGUCUUUAUGUAUGUUGAUAUCUCACAUAAUAUUUUUUUCCAUUUUUGCUAUGGGUUUUAAUUAAUUGUUGAACUUUCGCUAAUAUAUAUGAAAAUGGUUUUGGCACUUUUUUCCAUAUGUGUUAAUGGUUUAGUUGAAUUGUUUACAUACUCGGCUGUGAUGCAUAAAUGUUCAUUAAUAUCAGUACUAUGAUAAGUUCGAUUAAUUGUGACUACCUAGUUGGUCACUAUAUAUUGUAGUAUUACUGUUUGUAAAAUUCUUUUCAGUUUGAUUCUUACUUCUUUUAAGUAUUCAGAGAUAAGGCCAGUGAUGCUAACACAAGGCGGCUUGAUUGUGGAGACGCAGUUGAUAUUGUCAGUGACUUGCCCGGUGACUUAUUAGACCUUAUUCUAAAGCGAUUGCCGGUUGACUGUGUAGGAAGAAUGUGCAUUCUCUCAAAAACAUGGAGGGUGAAAUGGGAAAUGCACCCACACCUAGUUUUUGAUGACCUUUUCUUCAACCGGCUUUCUUAGAGGUUUCCUUCCAGAAGUAGAGAAACUAAACUAUAUGAAUUUUCAAAAACUGUCAGCAGUAGUCUUUUAUCUCGUAGUGGUCUCAUAUUGAAGUUUGUUCUUUGCAUUCCUCAUGAUUUGUUUCUUCAUCUCUAAUUAGAUAUAGAUAUUUGGAUUAAAAACAUAACAAACAAUGGAGUUAGGGAAGUGCAACUUCAUAAUCGUACAUUGAGUGCCUACAAAAUACCAUCUUAUUUGUUUUCCUGUUCAGAGUUGACUCAUUUGUUUCUAAGUUGUUGUAUGCUCACACCACCCCGGAAAUUUGAAUACUUUUUUAAUCUGAUUACUGUUUUGCUUGUGGGUGUCUUAAUUACAACUGACAUUUCAUUUGGGGCUCAACUUACUGACCUACAUUUGCAACGUUGCAUUGGGAUUGAACAUUUGGGAUGUCAAUAUUAAUAUUAUAUCAAUCUCACUUUUCUGAGUAUUAGCCAUUGUGAUGUAAUUGGAUCAAAUUUCUUGUAUAUAAUCCCAUGUGAAGCAAACACAUGAAUUUAGCUCUAUACAUUUCAGGCCUGGUUCUCAUUUCUAUGUAUACAACUUGGAUAGUUUUAUGAUUAAUAUGCUGGAUAUGAUACCAUGAUUUGAUAUUGCGUUUGUUGGAUGUUUAAUAAAUGUUAUCCAAACUAAUUGCCUCUAGUUGGUAAUGAUGUAAUUCGAUUUUCAUAGGUUGUUUUUGAUAUCAAUAAUCAAAUUUUUUAGAUAUGUGCAACAGAUCACUGUGAAUAUAUGCGUAACAGGUCACUG